rnacentral:rRNA from 1 species
UCNAGCCNUGCCGCGUGUGUGAAGAAGGNCUUAGGGUUGUAAAGCACUUUCAGGAGUGAGGAAGGGUAUAGUGCUNNUAUCAUUAUAUUUUGACGUUAGCUCCAGAAGAAGCACCGGCUAACUCUGUGCCAGCAGCCGCGGUAAUACAGAGGGUGCAAGCGUUAAUCGGAAUUACUGGGCGUAAAGCGCGCGUAGGUGGUUUGUUAAGUCUGAUGUGAAAUCCCAGGGCUCAACCUUGGAAUGGCACCGGAUACUGGNAGGCUAGAGUACGGUAGAGGGGUGUGGAAUUUCCUGUGUAGCGGUGAAAUGCGUAGAUAUAGGAAGGAACAUCAGUGGCGAAGGCGACACCCUGGACUGAUACUGACACUGAGGUGCNAAAGCGUGGGGAGCAAACAGGAUUAGAUACCCUGGUAGUCCACUGUG